rnacentral:rRNA from 1 species
GACGAACGCUGGCGGCGUGCCUAAUACAUGCAAGUCGAGCGAAUCAAUGGGAGCUUGCUCCCUGAGAUUAGCGGCGGACGGGUGAGUAACACGUGGGUAACCUGCCUGUAAGACUGGGAUAACUUCGGGAAACCGGAGCUAAUACCGGAUACGUUCUUUUUUCGCAUGAGGAGAGAUGGAAAGAUGGUUCUGCUAUCACUUACAGAUGGACCCGCGGCGCAUUAGCUAGUUGGUGAGGUAACGGCUCACCAAGGCGACGAUGCGUAGCCGACCUGAGAGGGCGAUCGCCCACACUGGGACUGAGACACGGCCCAGCCUCCUACGGGAGGCAGCAGUAGGGAAUCUUCCGCAAUGGACGAAAGUCUGACGGAGCAACGCCGCGUGAGCGAAGAAGGCCUUCGGGUCGUAAAGCUCUGUUGUUAGGGAAGAACAAGUACGAGAGUAACUGCUCGUACCUUGACGGUACCUAACCAGAAAGCCACGGCUAACUACGUGCCAGCCGCCGCCGUAA